rnacentral:rRNA from 1 species
AUUCAACGCUGGCGGCAUGCUUUACACAUGCAAGUCGAACGGCAGCGCGGGCUUCUGCCUGGCGGCUAGUGGCGCACGGGUGAGUAAUACAUCUGAACGUGCCCCGUAGUGGGGGAUAGCACCUCGAAAGCCGUAUUAAUACCGCAUACGACCUGAGGGUGCAACCUGGGGACCGAAGGGCCUCGCGCUAUUUGAGCGGCCGAUGUGGGACUGGCUAGUUGGUGGGGUAAGGGCUUACCAAGGGGGGGAUCCGUAGAUGGUCGGAGAGGACGACCAGCCACACGGGGAGUGAGACACGGACAAGAGGCCUACGGGAGGGAGCAGUCGGGAAUGGUGGACAAUGGGGGCAAACCUGAUCCAGCCAUGCGGCGUGCGGGAAGAAGGCGUUCGGGGUGUAAAGAGGUUUUGUGCGGGAAGAAACCCUCUGGGCUAAUACGAAGGGGGGAUGACGGUAACGGAAGAAUAAGCACCGGCUAACUACGUG